rnacentral:rRNA from 1 species
UACGGGGGGGGCAAGCGUUGUUCGGAAUUACUGGGCGUAAAGGGCUCGUAGGCGGCCAACUAAGUCAGACGUGAAAUCCCUCAGCUUAACUGGGGAACUGCGUCUGAUACUGGAUGGCUCGAGUGUGGGAGAGGAAUGCGGAAUUCCAGGUGUAGCGGUGAAAUGCGUAGAUAUCUGGAGGAACACCGGUGGCGAAGGCGGCAUUCUGGACCAUAACUGACACUGAGAGACGAAAGCCAGGGGAGCAAACGGG